rnacentral:lncRNA from 1 species
AGUUAGAUAAGAGAAUGAGAAUAAUAGAACCUAUAUACAUAACAGAUGCUGAGAAGUGAUCAUGAUGUCAAAGUCUCCAAAUCUAGCCUGGCUAACACUUCAAACUACGGUGAUCAAUACUAAUUGGCAUUAGUGAAAAGUUAAACAUGUAGAUUAAUGAAACAGAAUAGAAAGCAUACAUAUACAGUCAAUUAGUUCAUAACAAAAUUACUAAGGGAAUAGAGAAGGCAAAGGAAAAUCUCUGCAAUGAAUGGUGCUGGAUCAGCUGGAAAUUCAUUUGAAAUGGGAAAAAAAUUGAUCUUGAUAAUUACUUGACAAUAUAUACAAAAACAUCAACAUUAUUCAUUAUCAUAAGUAUAAAGCAUAAAACUAUAAAACUUCUAAAAUAAAACAGGAAAACUAUUUGUGACCAUUGGGUAAGCUUAAUUGUUUAUAUCAUAAAAAGGAUAGAAAAAAGCUGGGUAAAAUGGACUGCAUUUUUUUUAAAAAAAAACCUCUUUAAAAUAUAUUAUGAAAACAAAAAGGCAAGUCGCAGAGUGAGAAAAUAUCCGGGAUGUACAAAACAACUCUUAUAAAUCAAUAAGAAGACACCUAACCUAAUACAAUAUGGGCAAACAUUUGAAUAGAGGCUUCACUGAAGAAGAUAUGCAAAUGACAAGUACACACAUAAAAAGAUGCUCAAUAUCUUUAGUCAUCAGGGAAAUGCAAACUAAAACCACAAAGAGACACCAAUAUAUAACUGUUAGGCAAAGAGGAACCGGAGGGUUCUGAUUUAACUUUUGGGGGGUUUCUUUCUAUAUUCAAUAGCAGGUCUUUUCAAUUUUCAAGGGCAAAUGUAAGCAGGAAUCAUUAGCAAGCCAACUCAUAGGGGAAGGGAGCAUACAUGAUUUCAUUAGGCCAAUUUAAAAAAUGAUAAUUCUAAAGAUGUUAUUUUUCAUCUCUUUCAUAAUGAACUUGGAAGACUCGGGAUGCUGUUUUGUGUGUCAUUUCAGGCUGGGAUAAUGGGCUCCCCUGGGCCUUGCCUCAGUCAUGCUGCCUCACUCUCUGGCAGGGAAACAAAUGACACCAACUCACACUUCUGGCUUUGUCACAUCCAUGCCUGAAGAUGCUUUUAUGUAGGUGAUUCUGGAAAUGGGGAGAUUUAAGUUCAGCUGCUCUAAUAAUUGUCUCAGAGAAGCAGGAUAUUUAGAUGUCGGAUUGUGAGCCUGGACUCAAGGGAGAGGAGCUGGGCUUUUAGGAUGUGCGUACUCAUUGGCCAUGCCAGGGGAUGUACCCAGACGCUUCCAGAUCUCUGCUAGUAAUGUGGGCAGACAGGCUUCAGUAGCCUAAGGACAGUCCUG